rnacentral:rRNA from 4 species
AUCGUACCCCAAACCGACACAGGUGGUCAGGUAGAGAAUACCAAGGCGCUUGAGAGAACUCGGGUGAAGGAACUAGGCAAAAUGGUGCCGUAACUUCGGGAGAAGGCACGCUGAUAGGUAGGUGAAGUCCCUGCGGACGGAGCUGAAAUCAGUCGAAGAUACCAGCUGGCUGCAACUGUUUAUUAAAAACACAGCACUGUGCAAACACGAAAGUGGACGUAUACGGUGUGACGCCUGCCCGGUG